AGAAACUGUCAGGGGAGUCUCGCCGAAGAGACUGAGAGGCUAAUAGCGAUUUAUCGCGGUUUAGCGACCCUUCGAACCUGACCCAGUUGAUACUGGCGUAGGAAGACCUGUCUCUUGCUCU
rnacentral:ncRNA from 1 species